GAGAGAUUGUGCUCGCCCCAACGGCACAUACACAGAGAAAGUUAGCAUGGCUCCUGCACAAGGCUGACACACAAAUUCGCGAAGCGUUCCAUAUUUUU
rnacentral:snRNA from 1 species